GUUUUCGGUGGACUCUCAUUAUUAAUUGGUUGUGUCGGUAAACCAUUACAUUAGUUUUGUUUAUUUUUGGGUUGAAAAAAUUGAAUGCCAAAAAACUAUAUUAUCCAGCCGGAGUAGCUAAAGGCGCAGGCCUGGCAGGUCAGUGAGAUGGCCAGCCAGGUUUCCAGAUCUCAGUCUCCUCGACAUUUUUAUGGGGUACACUUAAAAAUAGAAUUUACAGGCAGGGUGAUUAUCCAAAUAUCGAACAGCUCCAAAUCAACAUCAUUAGAGAGUUAAGGAGAUUACACAGACGGGAAAUACAUCGCGCAGUGCAUAACAUGCAGAAAAGAGUAGAACUGUGCAGAAUCACGGACAACAUUUUGAACAUCUUUUGUAAUUUAUUAUCUUUACGUAUAAUUAUUAAUAUUGUUAACUUUUUUU